rnacentral:rRNA from 1 species
AAUUUAUUUUAUUUUAAUAAAUUUUCUAUUUUUGGAUUAUUUAGUUUUAAUAAGGAGAGCUUUGUGGGGAUGAGCUGGCAAAGUUUUUUAAAUUUUUGUAUAUUUAAAUGAGUAGUAGGAUUAAAAUUUUCUUUCUUUAUAGUAUUUUAUAAUUUAUCAUUUAUAAUUUUUUAUUUUUAUUUAAUUAGAUUUUUUAUAAAAAUGUAAAUUUUAAUUUUUUAUUUUUAGUAAUAAUUAUGUAAUUAGUAAAAUUGAUUUUAAGUUUAUUUUUUAUUAAAGGUAAAUUUAAGGAAUUCGGCAAUUAGUUUUUCGCCUGUUUAAUAAAAACAUGGUCUUUUGAGUAUGAUUUAAGAUUUAACCUGCCCACUGAAGAUUUAAAUGGCCGCGGUAAUUUGACCGUGCGAAGGUAGCAUAAUCAAUAGUUUUUUAAUUGGAAGCUGGUAUGAAUGGUUGGACGAGAAAACUUCUGUCUCAAGUUUAUUUAUUUUGAAUUUUAUUUUUGAGUUAAAAAGCUUAAAUUUUAUUAAAAGACGAGAAGACCCUAUAGAGUUUAAUUUAAUAAUCUUUUGUGUUUGAAAGAAUUUUUAAAAAUUGGUUGUUAAAUUUUGUUGGGGUGACAUUAAGAUGAAAUUAACUCUUAUUUUAUUAUUUCAAUAAUGUUUGUUUUUUUUGAUCCUUUUUUUAGAUUAACAGAUUAAAUUACCUUAGGGAUAACAGCGUUAUUUUUCUUGAGAGUUCUUAUCGAAAGGGAAGAUUGCGACCUCGAUGUUGGAUAAAAUAAAC